rnacentral:rRNA from 1 species
CCUACGGGGGGCAGCAGUAGGGAAUCUUCGGCAAUGGACGAAAGUCUGACCGAGCAACGCCGCGUGAGUGAAGAAGGUUUUCGGAUCGUAAAACUCUGUUGUUAGAGAAGAACAAGGAUGAGAGUAAAAUGUUCAUCCCUUGACGGUAUCUAACCAGAAAGCCACGGCUAACUACGUGCCAGCAGCCGCGGUAAUACGUAGGUGGCAAGCGUUGUCCGGAUUUAUUGGGCGUAAAGCGAGCGCAGGCGGUUUCUUAAGUCUGAUGUGAAAGCCCCCGGCUCAACCGGGGAGGGUCAUUGGAAACUGGGAGACUUGAGUGCAGAAGAGGAGAGUGGAAUUCCAUGUGUAGCGGUGAAAUGCGUAGAUAUAUGGAGGAACACCAGUGGCGAAGGCGGCUCUCUGGUCUGUAACUGACGCUGAGGCUCGAAAGCGUGGGGAG